GUGAGCAGCUUCCAGGUGGUGAGCUAAAGUGGCAAACAUAUUCAGUUUCACAGCCUCACUUCAAUAAAACCGAACCAUACCUUAAAUUAGCCCCUAGAAUGAAUAGCAUUUAGCUCUGCUGCUAUUCUGAGAAAUGUCUACCAAGCAUAAUCUCAUGGAGGUCAGUAAAGUUGAUGUGCAGUUCAGGGCAAUGUCCUUGUCAUUAGCCGCCCGCCGUCACCCCCUUAGCCUUCCUCCAUGGCAACUCAGACAGACAAACAGGAAGCAGCUGUUACCAGGGAAACAGCCAGACGGUCUGAAGUGUUACAGUGUGGCAGCGAGCCGGAGUGAGGAACGAAAAAGGGAGAGAAAUGUGGAGGGGGAAAGGAUUGCUGCUGCUGUGGUGGUGGAAUCUAAUUAGACUGUGACAAUGGAUAAAAAGGGGAUAUUUCCAGCUCGCGUUGACAGAGUGAGAAAAUGUGUGUUCUGCGUGUGCCUGCAUGUGGUUACACACUCUCAUUUGCGCAGAUACUGUACCUGCGUGUGAGCCUGGGAAUAGGCUGACUGACGCACAGAAUGACAGACAAGCUUUGGAGUCCUGGCAACACUGCUAUUUCUCACUCCCAUAGUCCUCUGCUUCCUCUUCCUCUGCCUCCUUCUCCUCGCUCACACACCCCCACACCUCUGUCUCAUCUUCUCUCCCCCUCGCUGCCAUUUCUCCUCCACGUCUCUCCUCUGGCAGUGAUUGCAUAUGGAUUGCCACAUAAUCCGAUUCGCUGAGAAUAGUUUUGCCUCCACAGGCCUCUCAUUUCCUCGGCAAUGUGAAUUUGGAUCAGUUAUCCACGUGAAUUAGCAAGGCGACGCCUUCAUUAUUAUAUUAGCUUUCAGACAAGGCUCACCGAGGAGAUUAGUUUCAUGGAGGCUGACACGGCCCUCACCUGUGAAACGGUGUUACAAAGUGGAAAGUCUGGUUUUUGGAUCAACAUUAAAGAACUGCUCCCCUGGGCUUUGCUCAGCGGUGGCAUGAAAUGCAAACCUCUCUGAGCUAUCGUUGUAAGGCCACCUGACUUUGAUCUUGCGCGGCGAAAAACAAACAGGCAUCUUUCAAGAGGUAACCACUUUAAAGCUUUCCGUGGUUGAGAAAACACACAUACACACACACACGUGUGCGGGACAGCAAACAAUAGAACAGGCAAACAGCGCAGCCUGGAAUGGCGAAUUAAAUACAAACUGUCUCAUCUGAUGCCAUAUCACCUUUGUGUCAUGUAUUCAUUUCAUUUAACUAUUAACUAUCACUGUUGAACAAUAGCCUAAGAGAUGCUUCAGUCAGAUUAUUUGUUUUCUUGCCUGAACUCAGUGCUCUAAGUUCACACAGCUGGCAAAUAACCUUUUUCCCUGUCUUUCUAUUUUUCCAUUUUUCUGUCAAGUUUUCACUCCGCUUGUCCCGGUCAGCGCCGCCAAAGCUUUUACAGUGGAAUUACAAGAAAGGCCCGGGCAGCAGCAGCUCUUGUGACAGGAUGCCAAGGCUGAUGCGCUCUCGCCGUGCCGUGAGCGGAGGCAGAUGACCACACGGGCGUCAGACCACCUCAGUGAUGAUGUGAGACCACCAGAGAUGUUAAAGAGAAGAAGUUCAACGUCAAGAAGGGAGAGGGGCGAUGGUGUGACUGAAAAGCAGCCGUGCAGAAAGGGGUUCAGACGGGACAGGCGCAGCUUUUCAUGUUGACACUGCUCAAUCUCCUCUCUCACCACAAGGCUGUAACAGAUGCUCCCCAGUGGAGGAUCAGGGGAAGUAACGUUCUCGCCCACAUGGUUGUCACUCAAGUGGAUGUCACUGCUCUGGAGAUAAAUGGCAUCACAUGAAAAAAAAAUCCCUAAACAUCCUUGUCGCAGCCUCUCCAGGCUGCAGCUGCCAGCGUCUAAUGGCUUCCAGAUCCAUCUCCUCUUCCCUCUGUUCGCGCUCCACAUCUUGCUGUUUUUCUGCAGCAUUUCAGAUGAAUGGGCCAAAGUGGAAGUGGAAAUCCGCUGUACUUCAGCCAGUGAGUCAGCCAGCAAAGCACUCAUUUGAAGAGAAAACCACAAGCAGGAUAAGUAAUGGAUUUUGUUUUUCAUAAAUCACUGUAAAGGUUGUUCGUUUUUUUUUAACAUAUAGUACGGCGGAAGGUCUUUGAUGAGUGAGUUAGUUAAAAAUGUGUGUGUUUAUGCACAAGGGAGCACAUUCACAGAAGCGCUGUAGAUCUUAUUUACCUUUACUGGAAACUGAAGGAAGCUUGUGUAAUGGCUGUGUGACUGGAUUUGUGCUUUUAACUUAAUACACGCACGUCUGUGUGUGUGUGUGUGUGUCUCAGCCUGCCUUUCGGAACACAUUUCUGGCUAAAAACAGGUAAAUAAGAACAAAGUUCAUGUCCACAUUUAGGUAGGAGUCGGGUCAUUGGUUAAAUUUACUGUUAGGAAAGAUGUGGUUAGUGUCGGAGUAUGACUCCAAGAAAUACACUGAAGUCUAUGUAAUAACUCCAUAAAUGAACUAUGAUGUAUGCAUAUGUGUGUACGUGUCAAUGGGCCUGAGGUGAGUUGUGUGUCUCACACACACACACACACACAGACACACACACAGACAGACAGAGAGAGAAUUAUUUCAAGCAUUUUCCACUGAACUCAAUUUUCAUUUUUUUCACUUUCAGUUAUUUUAGGUAAUAUUUGUGUAUAAAGGGGAUUUUUAUGACUGAUUAUUGUAUCAUUGUUAAGCACACAUGUACAGAUAGAGUGGGUUGAGCACCUGUUGCAUGUGUGUGUUAAUGAAAAGUCUCAGAUGUUAACGCUAAUAAGGCCAAUAUGUCACAAAUGGACAGUCUGUACACAGACAUGAGACAAACACACCGAACCAUGUGCCACAUUUGCAGGCGAUAAGGCGGUUUUUCCACAAGAGUAAACACUGUCUUAUAUCAAGGGCUCAAAGGCAUUUUAAUGGUAACAACCGUCUUUGUGAAGCAGGCUGGUUUCUACGACUGUUUUGAUUACUCACUCUUAGUCAUCAGAAGCAGCAGCAGCAGCAGCAGCAGCAGCAGCAGCAGCAUGAAGGCCUCAUGUGCCACAUACCACAACAGCUGCACAGACACAAAGAGCCCAGUAAGACUGAGGCCUAUCAAUCAAAUGAGGUCACUGUGGUCCAACAGAGGGGAGAGUGGGGUGGCCGCCUUUUUGUUGAGCGUUGUUGUGUUGUUGCGGGGGGGGGGUGACAUCAUCUUGUGUGAAGUCUGUCAUUAAAGCGUGAUAAAUAACUCGUGUGUGUGUGUGUUGAACAGUGAAGCGAGAGAGAGGCUUGGCCCCUGGAGCUUAACGACCACUGAUAGAGGGUUCCAGGGUGUUAUUGUGCGGUGUGCAGGGGGGGCCCUCUGGGGAGAGUCCCUGACCACAAAACGAUGUUGAUGAUCACUUAGUGAAACAGAGUACUUUCAGGACGAACGAGCGGUUGCACAAAAGAGCUGACAUAAAAAAAGAAAUAGGAGAAGAAAGUAGAGCAAUAAAAAUCUGCGGUUGACUCGAUGAGAAUUUAAGCACUUUCCAUUAAAAGCGCUGUAAAAGCUGCCAUAUUUGAGCACCGUCAUCACUUUACAGGCAUUCAUCAGCAGGUUAAUGUCACACAAGAUGAAGUUAGCGAGUUAUACGAUUUCAGCCAGUUUGCAGAUAUCAGCUGACUCAUCCCACCCUCUGUAUUUGACCUGCUCACUUCAACACACUCACACAGUCUCACACACACACACACACGCUGACAAGAACAAACCCAAGUGAUAAACUGAAGGUUGAGUCCGACAGCAGCAGUUCAAGUUGUUGCGUGCUUAUUGUUGUUUUAUUUUAUUUUUUUAAUGCUGCAGGUCUUAACUUGUUAUUUCCUCAUGCUUCACACAGGAGGAGAGCAGACAGCGGCGACUCUGGCUUUAAUGUUCAGUCAGAGACACUUGUCAAAGUAUGACACGGCAAUCUGCGACGGAGGUAUUCAGGCUCCACGUUGUGAUGCCAAGGGGGGGGGAGCGCCGGUAGAAAAGAAAAAGUGAUGACUCACCAAACUUCCCAAAAUCCCCCUCCCUUCCCCCAUCCUGGUUUACGGGAAAUGGAAUGCUGUUUUUCUCUCCCUCUCUCUCUCUCCCUCUCUCUCCCUCGUCUCAAACGUUCAUCUUCUUGACAGGCAGCAAGGUCAGGGCCUGGGUUAAUGUUUGUCUGUGGGAUUGUUUCAUUGCUCUCUGUAGGGGCCAAUCCGGCAAUCGGGUUUAAUUAUAUGAGGCGGCGAUUUUGAAAGUUUGUUAGCCGUGUGUGGGAGGACAUGAAUUGAUGGAGCGCUCACUUGUGAAACAGAUAAGCCUUUGUUCCGACCCUUACCACGUCUUUUAUACUAAUGAUUUACACUGGUGAGUUUUGGGAUUUGCCAACUGCCAAUUUAAGUCACUGUUAAUCUCCCAGGGAUUGGGGGGGGGCGGGGUUGUCACUUACAAGUAGCUGUUUGGUGUAAUGUUUCCUGAUGAGAGUUUAAUAAACCACACAUUGUCAAACCAUUUUGGGGGAUUUUUAUAAGCUGUUGAGUUUGGCCUGCGCACUAUUUACAGACAACUCAUGGGCUCCUUCAGGGAGAAACAAACCAUCGAGAGUGUUUAUGUGCAUGUCUGAGAGCGGGGACCAAAUAAAAGAAACAGCCCAGUAAUUAAAUCGACUACAUUAUACGCUCAGUGUGAAACUUGAUACUGUACGUUGCAUAAUUAACUUAGUAGAGCAACAUCCUAUGGUCUUCAUCAGGUAAUGAAGUCGUAGACACUCUCUCGCCAUAUGAACCAAUUGUAAACACUCUUGUCAUUGUUCUUUUGUAUGUUUAUUUCAUUUAUAUUGUAGUAUUUGCAGGCAGGUGACAGAGUCGUUGUAAGGUGUUCCCUGGUGGUCAUUAGAGUGUGGUUGCUCAAUCCAGAUCUUCAUCAAAACCUGGUGUUUUUCGAUUGGAGCUUGUUGUUGCUACUUGUAGCGAAAGGGGAUUUUGAAAAUCAUAACAGGCAGGAAGCUGAGGGGGAGGAGAAUGUCUCAUGGGACAUGCAGCCAAUGGCACACAGACUACAACCUGUGAGUCAGAUGAGAUGUUCACUGAUAUUGUCCCUUUCUCUUGACCAGGGUCCUCAAGCGAUGGGCUCCUGCCUUCAGAUGUACAGACGUCGCCUUAAGGUAUUACACGGUUUGUGAGCACCUUCCAUACCGGGCUCUGCAGCGGCAGCAUCCUCCAUCACUUCAAUACUGUCUUCCUGAAUGCUGUCAUAGUGGUGAACUGCCACACACUGCCAUGCUGUUACCUCACAUAAUAUGACCUUCUGACACCGCCCCCAUGUGCUGCUAUUGAUUUAUAUACUGCUGACUGUUUGAAAUAGUCAUUUGAAUGGUUUUAUAUAAUUAUUUGUUAUUUUACCAAGACCUGAGUACUGCAUUUCAUCCUUUUUUUUACAUGUUUUUUUGAAUCUUGACUCCUCUGUGUCUUAUAAUUGACUAAGCUGUGCAAAUGAUGCUCAAAGUCCUUGAAAAAGAACCUUGUUUGUAACAUACAAACAUCUCAUGGCGACUUAUUUACAAAAGUAUUAGAAGCCAAACUGCCGCUGCUGAUGAUCUAAGUACUCCCUCAUAACACUAAGACUGGGUGGUGUUUGUAUUUGUUAACUUUAACUAAUAAUUCAAGCCCACAAUCCAGAUUAGCUACUCGCUCAGCAGCAUGUAUAACCCUGUUUACCUUCUGAAACAAAAUCGUGCUCAUUAUUUUAAGUGAAAAGAUGAAAAAUUAUGUUUAAUUCAAAUGUUUUAUGGAACAAAUGAUAAAAAUCACAUUUGAUCAUCUUAAUUCAUCAAUUGUUUGACAUAUCAUUUCACAAGUUUUACAUGUAAUGGUGUUUUUAUCUUUUUAUCUAACUGUGGAAUGACAAAGUAAAACAUGUUUUUUCUUUACUUUAUAAUCUAAAUGAAUAAUUAUAAUUAGUCAAUAGCGAAUGUCAGUUAUACUUUCGCCAAACUGCCAGACAGAUCUCUUUUCUUUUUCUUUUUCUUUUUAAGCAUGUUAGUAUUUCAUCAGCAUCACAAUCCAGUGUGUUUAUGGGGAAGUUAUCCCACAUAUAACAGUAACAGUGGCGUAACUGUGAGCUGGGAGUGGGAGUGUGAGCAUCUGUCUCUUUGUGGUUAGGGACAGCCGCUGCUCGAGGUUCUGAACAGACGAAUCCACUCUGACCUUAACAGUUGAAAGGUCAUUGGAGUUAUUGCUUCAGCAGGGCUCUAAUCCUACAUGACAACUCCCUUUUCAAACACCUUUCAAACUCAACCUUUAUUCACUCUUCUCCUAUAAUUAUCUCCCAAACCGCAGGUGCUAUCACUUCUUCUCUUUGUAGCAGUAGUGUGUGACCACCACAUAGCUCUUGCCGUGUGUUUACCUUGUGAUAGCCAUCUCCUCUUCAAAGGUCUGUGAAUCUGUGCUCCGGGUCUGGCUCAGCUUCUCACUCAGCGGCUGCAGUUUUGGGAGAUCAGAGACACGACAAGUUCAACGCGGGUUUGCGCGGGAUGAUGGAUCCUGAAGAAAUGAGACAACGUGUGGGGUCAGCAACUUUCACUCUUUCAGGUCAUCAACCAUACCAUCGGCCCUGCCAUCACUGUAUGUGUGUGUGUGACACAUCCAUAACUAUUGGUGUUGUCUGAAGAGAUCAGUCUCAGCAGAACAGUCCACAUUGACUUUGUGCUGACGGUGCUGAACAGAGAUGGCUUAGCAACAAGUGUCCGACGAGCACAAUGCAUGUACACUCGCGGACCACUUUACUAAGUACACCUGUUUUCACGGGGUUGUUAAUGCAUGGAAAAAAACGUGAAAUGAGUGACGUGACUUUGAACAUGGCGUGGUUGUUGGUGCCACACAAGCUGGUCACAAAAAACUGUUGAUCUACUUGGAUUUUAACACACAACCACCUCCCUUGUUUAAAGAGAAUGGUCUGAAAAAGAAAAAGGAUUUAGUGAGCAACAGUUAUCAUCAUGUAAAAAAUGUUUUAUUAAUGACAGAAGUCAGAGGAGAAUAGACUAAUUUGAGAUAAUACAAAGAAACAGUUACUCAAAUAACAGCUUAUGACAACCAAGUUCUGCAGAAGACCAAUGUCUGAAUACACAAUACAAUGAACCUUGAAGAAGACCGCACCGGAUGCCCCUUUUACCACACAGUUAGGUGUUUUCUGUACCUAAUAAAUUGACCAUUCAGUGUAAGUGUGUAUACCUAUGCAAUCUAGAGUAGAAGCUCCAUAGCAGAGUAUGUACAGUGUUUGCCACCAAUUGUUCUUUUAUUAAUUGUAUAAUAUUCAUGUAACACAUUUUCAAGAGACAUAAACACAGUGAUAUAUAUUUUUAAUUUUAAUUUAAUGACUGCAGUUGUGAAUGUGCUUCUCCCAGUAAUACAGUGUAGUCCAGUUCAACUGUUCACUGUUCAGUAAUAAACAAAAUAGUUCCACACAUGA